rnacentral:ncRNA from 9 species
GUAACAAGGUUUCCGUAGGUGAACCUGCGGAAGGAU